AUCAGCUGUAUCUAAACAGAGCAGAGCUCAGGUGACAUCACAGAACAGGCAGAGGCAGUUCAGGGGUAUUCUGGUUGCCUUACCCAGCUCUGAAGUCUGUCAGCCUCUUCAGAUGUCACUUGCCAUGUGGUAAGGAAGUGUAGUCAGCAGCUGGUGCAGUGGGAAGAAGAGAAAGGAAGUUCCCCAAGACAAAAACAUCUCGGCAGACCGUGAUCAUGGGCUACAUUCUCCGUACCAGCUUCAUAGCUCCAGUGAGAAAAUAAAUUCCUGCAUCCAGGAGAUGUGGAGUAAGAGAUACAGCUGCCCUUGACCAUAUUUCUUACUUCCGAGAAGAUCGUAGCAGUAAUUCAGAAUCUCAUCCAGGAUACCUCAUCACAGGCUGGAGUGCAGUGUCAUGAGCUUGGCUCACUACAGCCUCCAUCUUCUGUGCUUAAGGAUCCUUCCCUCUCAACCUCCAAGGUAGCUGAGACUACAGGCAACAUUCGAAACCCAGGUGCCACUCCUUCAGGAAGGUACCAUCAAGCUCCAAGGACUCAUCCUCUUUCUCCUUCCCCACUACCUAGUCAUUAGAGCGUCAGCAUCCACUUCCUGAAAGGAAGAUGCCUGUUUUUCACAUAUCCCAGAAAGCCUCAUUUUAGGACAGCAUUUAGCAGAGUGUAUUCAGGAUCCCACUAACCUUUUCGGAAGACAUGACUUCCAGAUGAUAUAAGGCAAGAAUAAGAAAUUUCAGUGACAGGGAACAGAAAUCAUAUUUCUGCAUUCAGGAUCAUGUUUUCUUGGCUCCAUCAGGAACUGUGCAGGACUGUGCACUCUGUUGAUACUCACAUGGUGGAAUUAUAUUGCCCUUGGCCAACCCUAAAGCCAUCAAGAUAGCAGGUUUGGAAUAAUUCACUGUCGAAGUCUUCUUGAGCUGAGCAGUCAUGUGAGCUUGGAAGAUGAUCCCUCUCCAGCUGAUCCUUCAGCUCAGGCCAUCAUCUACAUCUGGAUUCCUGACCCGGAGAAACUAUGAGUAAUGUGUGCUGCUUUUGAGCCACUAAGCUACAUGAAUUAAUGAAGGAUCAUUAUUAAGUUUUUAAUGGGUCAAGAGAAAGUUACCACUGAGGUCUUCUCUACCUGGGCAACAAUUGACUCCUAACAACCACUAUAAGCUUGGAAGAUGAUCCCUCCCCAGCUGAUCCUUCAGGCUGGAGUGCCGUGGCACAAUUAUGGUUCACCAGCCUCAACCUCCUGGGAUCAAGCAAUCGUCUCACCUCAGCCUCCUGAGUAGCUGGACUGCAGGUACCCACAAGUAGGGUUGACCACAGUAACAAGUAAGCAAGCAAAACAUUUUGUGAAAACCGUGAAGCAUCUUCCUCUGCAGUGACUUAUCAAAAGGGCCCUUUAGCCUAUCUACUGUGGUGUUCUAAAAGGAAGAAAGAGGCUAGUAAAUCCUGGAUACUUUGCUCCUACACCAAUAUUCCCAGCUGUACCUUGAAAUAAAAGGAUUUAGAACUUUAGAACAUUGCUGUUGUUGCUUAUGUCUCUAAUGUUCUCUUGAAUCUUGACAAUCCCCGAACACUGCUCCCCGCUUUAUUUGUUUAGUCCAGUCCCAGUGAAAUAAAUUAGAUGUCAAGGCUCCUCAUUAUGGUUGCCUGGUUUUUGG
rnacentral:lncRNA from 1 species